AGAGUUUGAUCCUGGCUCAGAUUGAACGCUGGCGGUAUGCUUUACACAUGCAAGUCGAACGGCAGCAUAGGUGCUUGCACCUGAUGGCGAGUGGCGAACGGGUGAGUAAUGCAUCGGAACGUGCCCAGUCGUGGGGGAUAACGCAGCGAAAGCUGUGCUAAUACCGCAUACGAUCUAUGGAUGAAAGCGGGGGACCUUCGGGCCUCGCGCGAUUGGAGCGGCCGAUGUUAGAUUAGGUAGUUGGUGGGGUAAAGGCUCACCAAGCCGACGAUCUAUAGCUGGUCUGAGAGGACGACCAGCCACACUGGAACUGAGACACGGUCCAGACUCCUACGGGAGGCAGCAGUGGGGAAUUUUGGACAAUGGGGGCAACCCUGAUCCAGCCAUUCCGCGUGAGUGAAGAAGGCCUUCGGGUUGUAAAGCUCUUUCGCAAGAGAAGAAAACUUGCUAUCUAAUAAAUAGUAAGCAUGACGGUAUCUUGACAAGAAGCACCGGCUAACUACGUGCCAGCAGCCGCGGUAAUACGUAGGGUGCAAGCGUUAAUCGGAAUUACUGGGCGUAAAGCGUGCGCAGGCGGUUUUGUAAGUCUGUCGUGAAAGCCCCGGGCUCAACCUGGGAAUUGCGAUGGAGACUGCAAGGCUUGAAUCUGGCAGAGGGGGGUAGAAUUCCACGUGUAGCAGUGAAAUGCGUAGAGAUGUGGAGGAACACCGAUGGCGAAGGCAGCCCCCUGGGAUAACACUGACGCUCAUGCACGAAAGCGUGGGGAGCAAACAGGAUUAGAUACCCUGGUAGUCCACGCCCUAAACGAUGUCAACUGGUUGUUGGGAAUUUACUUUCUCAGUAACGAAGCUAACGCGUGAAGUUGACCGCCUGGGGAGUACGGCCGCAAGGUUGAAACUCAAAGGAAUUGACGGGGACCCGCACAAGCGGUGGAGUAUGUGGUUUAAUUCGAUGCAACGCGAAGAACCUUACCAGGGUUUGAAAUCAUUUCAAAACUCCUUGAAAGAGGAGCCUCCUUCGGGAUGAAAUGACAGGUGGUGCAUGGCUGUCGUCAGCUCGUGUUGUGAAAUGUCGAGUUAAGUCUCGUAACGAGCGCAACCCAUGUCUCUUGUUGCUCAUUGAGUGCUUAAGAGAGACUGCCGACCAACAUCGGAGGAAGGUGUGGAUGAUGUCAAGUCAGCAUGCCCCUUACAUCCUGGGCUACACACGUACUACAAUGGUAGGGACAAUGAGCUGCGAUCCUGCGAAGGCUAGCCAAUCUCAAAAACCCUAUCUCAGUUCGGAUUGUACUCUGCAACUCGAGUACAUGAAGGUGGAAUCGCUAGUAAUCGCUGGUCAGCUAUACAGCGGUGAAUACGUUCCCGGGUCUUGUACACACCGCCCGUCACACCAUGGAAGCCGACUCUUCCCUAAGUCGUUACUCGAACCCAUUGGGACGAGGAUGCCGAAGGCAGGGUUGGUGACUAGGGUGAAGUCGUAACAAGGUAGCCGUACUGGAAGGUGUGGCUG
rnacentral:rRNA from 1 species